GAGCCACCACUCCCAGCCUGAUAUCAUCUUAACUAACUACAUCUGAGAUUCUAGAGAGGGCUACUUUUUGUUUCUUUAGUUUGUUUCCACUUAAAAACUUUUUAAAACAAUAUAAUGUGUAAAGAUUCUAGUAACACCCACCACCCCCAAAAGAAGAAAAUGAUAAAGCUCACAAAUUUGAAAUCCAUCCCUGUUUGUGCCAUCAGAAUCUGGGAUGUCUCAGUAAGGGAGGGGGCAUGGCCUUGCCAACACUUUGCUUUCAGGCUUUUGGCCUCUAGAACUGUGAGACAAUACAUUUCUGUUAUUUUAAGUUUGGAGGUUUUAUGGAUUGUCUCAUGUGCACCAGAAGGGUAGCUAGAAACAUCAGGCCACAUCUGUAACUUAACUUUCUUGAGAGAGAGGGGAUAAACUCUUGGAAGCAGAGGUGCCUUUUGACCUGUGAGACUGUUGUGUAUGUUGUAUUUCCCAGUAGACCAUGGACAGGUGGGAGCAGCAGAGUUGUCUCAAGGAUUUCCUCUUUAUGACUGAGACUUCAAUGGUUAAAAUUUGAAAAAAAAAAAAAAAAAAGAAUUUCCUCUUUAACCAUGUUAUCUUCAACUGAGCAAUUUUGGUGUUCAAAGAAGUGCUUUGCAGUCAUAAAAUCACGAAAUGUUCACACUGGAAGAAACCUCACUUCCUCUAGCUUAACAGAUGAAGAAACUGAGGCUCAAAGUGAAAAAACUAUGGGCUCAACAUCAUUCAUUCAUUCAACAGAUGUGUAUUAAACAACCACCACAAGGCAGGCUGUGUGCUAGGCCCUGAGACCUAGAAGUGAACAAAGUAGACACAGUUCCAAUUCGGAAGGAGCUUCAGGUCUAGAGGACUUGACCACAUAGAAAGUGACCACAUAUCGAUAAUGAUGACAAGUGUUACACAGGACAAGUGCAGGAGCUGGAGCCCAGGCAAGGAAUGAAAGGGCCGGGCUGGGGAUAUGGGAGCUGAUGGGUGGAGUUUUCUCGGCAGAUGGAACUGGAAUGGAAUGUUUGAUGUUCUGAGGUGGGGAGGAGCAAGGCGUUUAAAGGAAUAGAGAAGGCCAGUGUGUCUGGAGUGCUGUGUGUGAAGAUGAAUUAGUUCUUCAUGAGGCAAGCCAGGGGCAAGAUCUUGAAGGGCCUUUUAAGCUAUGGUGGUUUUGUCCUUUUGGACCAAUUAUCUAACCUGGGCCUGGACUCCAUCUACCACCGUCCUGCCUGGUUCACUGCAGCUCACUUCAUCUUCCUGUGCCUUCUCUGAAAGGGCCCCUCCAAAAGUUUCCUGGGUAUGUCCGCUCAAGGUACAUACCAUGCCUACAUUCCUACCUGUAGUAUUCUAAUUGAACCACCUUGAAACUCACUGGUAAUGCCGGACACAUUCUGUGCCCAUCUUCCCAGACCUCCCUCCCCAAAUCCAGCCACAGUUGCACGACUACCUGGUAUAACUGUCGUAGUCUUUAAAGAGUGAUUUCCCCAAUUAAACUUACUGUUGACUCCUUAUCUGA